rnacentral:rRNA from 1 species
ACCAGGCCUUGACAUGCAGAGAACUUUCCAGAGAUGGAUUGGUGCCUUCGGGAACUCUGACACAGGUGCUGCAUGGCUGUCGUCAGGCUCCGUGUCGUGAGAUGUUGGGUUAAGUCCCGUAACGAGCGCAACCCUUGUCCUUAGUUACCAGCACGUUAUGGUGGGCACUCUAAGGAGACUGCCGGUGACAAACCGGAGGAAGGUGGGGAUGACGUCAAGUCAUCAUGGCCCUUACGGCCUGGGCUACACACGUGCUACAAUGGUCGGUACAAAGGGUUGCCAAGCCGCGAGGUGGAGCUAAUCCCAUAAAACCGAUCGUAGUCCGGAUCGCAGUCUGCAACUCGACUGCGUGAAGUCGGAAUCGCUAGUAAUCGUGAAUCAGAAUGUCACGGUGAAUACGUUCCCGGGCCUU